GACGUAGGAGGCGAGCGUUGUCCGGAUUUACUGGGCGUAAAGCGCGCGCAGGCGGUGGCGCAGGUCAUCUGUGAAAGCCCCCGGCUCAACCGGGCGGAUGCGGGUGAAACCGCGCGACUUGAGGGUGGGAGAGGUCGGCGGAAUUCCCGGUGUAGUGGUGAAAUUCGUAGAUAUUCGGAAGAACACCAGUGGCGAAGGCGGGUCACUGGCCCGGUACUGACGCUCAGGUGCGAAAGCGUGGGGAGCGAACAGG
rnacentral:rRNA from 1 species